rnacentral:lncRNA from 1 species
CCUUUCAGAAUCCAAAACCAGAAACUCAACACUUAUCUCUUCAAGACCCUCACAAGGAAUAUCAAAGACAAACAGUUCAUUGAACACUGCAUUAGGGGUGCAUUUCUUCACAUGAGUCUUCUUUUUAGAGAUUCUCUUUUUGGCAUGGUACAGGUUCACUUUCACGUAGGGAUCUGCAAUGGUAAACAACGGACGUUACACUGGCAGAACCUGGCUGGAGAGUUGAUUUCAAUAUAAUGGUGCCCUUGGAGGUUACUGCGUGCCAAUAAAAUGAGAUUGCAGUGAAAAUGAGUCAGAACAAAGUGAAAACAUGGAUAUAGCUUGGCUUCUCUAUUGUCAACAAAUUGACAAUAAGAAUGUGAAUAUGAAGAGUAAACUGUUCUAAACCAGAGGAUGAGAACAGAAGUGCAAUGGCAGGAAGAUGAGAUAAUAUAGAGGAGAAGAAAACAAAAUAUUACAGAGGCACACUCUGAUUACUUGUAACUCAUUCCAGAAAAUAGGAUAGAAGAAAAAAACAUUAGACAAGAUCUAACCUUUCUGAGUUGUAUGACUUUGGAUAAGCCUCUCUACCUCUCUGCUUUUCUGUUGAACAGGCAUUUAGAAUUCACAAUGGCAAUGUCCUUUUUACUUUAAAUUUUGUGCUUCUUUAAUCACCUGCUGAGUUUGCUUCCUGUUUUUCAGAGUUGAUCUUCCUUUAAUAUGUGGAUUUUAGGAUCAUGCUACUUUUUCACACAUUUAAUUAUAUUCUUUUUGCCUCUUUCUGGUUGAAGCAUAUGAGUUCAUUUGAGCUUCCUAAUCUAAACAUUUAAGACAAUGUGUUCAACUGCCAUUAUUAAAUAAUAGCAAUAAUAAUAUUAAAAAUAAUAAUACAACUAGGUGAUAUUUAAUGAAGUAUAUCUUUCUUGUCCUCACAAUCUCUCUCAAGGUAAGUAUCAUUACUUAUUAGUUUGUGUAGAGAUUAUGAAACAUAGCCAAGGUUAUAUGCUAAAAUGGAAGGGUUAGGAUUUGAACUCAGAUCCUUUCAACCCAUAGGUCAUGUGUUCUUUUCACAAUGUGAUAUGAGGAAUUUUUUUAAUAGUCACAAAAACUAAGAGCUAAUUCUUCAAGAAGAUACAUAAGGAAUUAAAGGAAAAAUAAUAAAAAGAACACCAGAAGAAUAAGUGUAGGUUGGCUCAUUAAAAACACUAAAAUGAAGAACUCUUCUCCCAAACAAUUGCUAUAUUUUUGGCAAUGGCUUCUUACCUCUGCAUUUAUCACUGUUUUCUGCUUCAAACCCAUUCAAUCAGACAUCUAUCAUGUAUUAGCAAUGGCUUAGUUGGUAGAACUAUGUAGUUUUAUUUUUCUUGCUAAUGGCAUUGAAUCACAUCGUUAUUCCAUAAUGAGAAACAGGGAAAAACAAUCACAUCACUUGAAACUAUGAGUAAAAGGCAAAUCAAAUUCAUGUCAGAUGCUAUUUUGCCCAAUGUACUGUUCACUGACACUGAAUUUUUCAGAAGCAUUCUUACCUGAAAGUCCAGACACAUCAGAUUUAGGCAGGUGUCGAGCUUUUAAAACAACCACAGUGAGAGUAUUUGUAGUGGACUGAUAGCAGAGAGAGAUCAGUAACUCACCCCGUCCUGAAGACUUCUAAACAAAGAGAGAUGUGGUAUAAGUAUUCUCAUUAUUUUCUUGGGUUUGAAAUUUGUGCUUAUAGCAACAUUUUAAAGCAAUAUAAUAUUGCUAGUUUUAUGUAAUUUUCCUACUUAUUUUUAUUUUACUAUGCUAAGGAAUCUGAGUAACUGCAAGCUUUUGUGCAGUGCUACCACUUUCUAAAAACAGGUGGCUGCCAUCUUGUGGUGUUUUUAGGUACUACAGGUUGUUAAAAUUUGUAAUGAGUUAGCCACACCCAUUACUAGAAAUGUUUAAAGAUAUUUAGAGUAUAGCUUUUACAGAGGAUUUUUUUUUUACUUUUGCUUUUUAACUAAAUAAUUACUUUUUGAAGUUACUAAUAGUAAUGAAAAUUGUCUAUUCAUUUGAAAGGAUCUGUAUAGGGCAAAAUGACUCAUGUUAAGUUUGAUUUGAUUUCAAUUUUUUAAAAAACACUAACAUUACUGGAAUUUGAAUUCAGACUAACUGAAAUUUAUUCUGACUGCCACCACUCUCCUGACCCACAGGGCUGAUGGAAUUAAAAUUCUCUAUCCUCAGCCCCCACUCAAAGUCCUCAUUUAAUCCAAGGAAUGAAUUAAGUUUUGGAGGGAAUUGACUCAAUUUUUAAUACUUUGUUUUUGAAGAGUAUCAUAAGAUCCUUCUUUGUACACUACUUAGAUUUUAUUUGCACUUUAAAGACAUUAGCUAAGAUGACCAAGAACUCAAAGUACAAGUUUUAACUGAUGAAACAAAAUGAAAACUCAGAGCUGGAUUAUAACUAAGAAUGUGGCUGGCCAGAGCUCCUAACUCUUCAGUCUAUAUGCACAUGGGGUUAUUAUAUGAAUAAACAGUCCAAGUAGGAAUAGAUAUUUAUUCCUACUAUGCUGCUAAACAUCUGAGUGUCUCAAACAAGCUACUUAGCGUUUCUGAACUCUGACUUUUCAUUAAUUUCAACAAAGAAAUAAAGGUGAGCUUUACAGUAUUCUACAGAAUCUUUCUAAAAUAUUAUAGUUUAAAUCAAUUAAGUUCUAUAUUUAAAGGGGAUAUAGUAUUAAUUUGAUAUCUUAUAAUAGUCUCAGAACUACCAAAGCAGUAUACCUACAAAGGCAGAGUAACUCACUUCUUGUCAUACAACAUAGUCAUGGACAUUUAUAAUUCAAUAUGAUGUGAUGUCUCCUCCUUGAAAAGCAAUUCCAUGAAAAGUCAAUAUAACUUCCAAAUCCUCAGGACAAAUUGAUUUAAUUUUAUAUUUCAAUUUCAAUUUCAAAUUCAAUUAUGAAACAUCUUUGUUAACUUGCUUAUAAGAAAUAUUUGCCUGCAUUUUAGUUUAAGUGGCAGUCAAAAUACUUAAGAUAGAAAUUAACAAAAAUAUUUAUAUAAGUAUUCUUUAAAUAUCCACAAAGGAUGCCUAUUUAUUUGAUAUAAUUAAAAUACUUUAAACAUUUCAGCUGUGGGUUAAAUUUUCUUUCAUCUCCUCUAUUCCCUUGAUCCCCAUUUGAUUAUGAUUAAUAAUAAUUAAACAUGGUAAAGAUGAUAUGUAUAAAACUUAUCAUUUUAAUGAAAACCCCCUAGAUACAAAGAAGCUGAAUAAAAGAAUGUUUAUAAAUACUUUAAGCACUAAAAAUGAAUUACCCUAACAUUUCUCUUGAUGAUCUCUCUGUUCAUUAACAUUUUUCCAUCAGAUAAUUCAAUUCCUGCAAGAGGAAUAAGGACUUCUCCAAUGAUAUCAUCUCUUGAAAACCUGUCAAAACUCAAGAUUGUGAAGUGCAAGGCCAACUCUUGGAUCUGAGUAUAGAGGAUCCCAUAGAAUGUAAAGGUCUCAUCAAAAGCUGGGUCCAAGGUCUUUCUCAGAACUCUGGUUUUCACUUUAUGCUUCUUCUCUGGGAGGAUCGUCAUUUUGAUAUACGGGUCAGAGGUCAUCGACUGCUCAUCCAUGGCUGGCAAGCCACGGGCUUCCUUGAUAUUUACCACAAAUGCUUUCUUCUCAAAGUUGUACUCUAAGGAGAAGAAGAGGGUUCCCAGCUUCUCCUGUUUCUCUUCUGAAGUAAGGGAAGUGCUGGACUUUAAGCUAUCAGGGGAAACGGCUUCUUUCUCCCCUUCUGAAAAGAGCUUUGGGGUCACACUCUCCAGAUCAGAAGGGCUACUAGCUUUGAGGUUUGUUUUGGGAAAAUUGCCAUUGAGAUCUCUCUUCUCAAGGUCGAGAUGUAAUGAAUUCUUUGGCACAGCUGGCUUAUUCUUUACUUCGUUUUUGUCAUCUGCUCCAAACUUCUUCUUGCUACUUAGGUUUUCAGGAUAAAUAUCAACUCCUUUUAGUACAUGCACAAACUUAUAUGGAGGAGUCUUGUUAGACUUGGAUGAUUUUCUCUGACAGCAGAUCCAUGCAAACAGAGAGACUGUGAAGACCAGGCCAAAUGCACUGAAGAUCCCCACCACUGUGGGGAUUUCAUCUGAAAAAUCAAAUGACCAAUAACAUACAUUAAAGGAGCAGAGUUGGAGACAUGAGCCUAUUUGAAAAGCAUACUGGAGCUGGCAAAUGCUGUAGGCUGCACAGAUUGGAUUACUUUCCAACUCUUCUGGGUAUGAGUUAUGUACACAUUUCAUGUCACCUUCAGGAAUAAACACAUCCACUGUGUGACAUGCCGAAAAAAAUACUGUAUGACAGAAACUUCUUCAUUUCAGUUUUUUUUUUUCAUAAAUAAAAAGAAAAGAUGAAACAGGGCCUAGGUCGGGAUGGGGGAUGCUAAAUGACCCUGACCUACCUUUGUUUUCUCAGAUAACAUGAGUCAACUACAGCAUGGUAGGUCAGUACUAAUUUCAUUAUGUUUUCUUGACAUUUUGAGGCUUUCCAGAAGCAUCAAUUUUUACUGAUUAUGGAGCUCUAAAUACACAUUUUUGAAAUACUGGGAGAUUUUUUAUUCUUAGUAGUUCUUUAUUUAUCCCGGAUUCAAGAAGCAAACAUCUAAGGGCUCAGUGGUUCCAAUAAUUUUAAGAAAUGGAGGAACAUUAUCUGCUAUUGUCACAAACUUAUCAAUAAUUUCCAUCCCAAUUAUGAUAAGAGAAAUGUUACAUAUAUUAGGAAAAAAAGAACAAAAAAGAUGAACAACAGGAUAUUAAUAUUAUAUAACUUUUAACACUACAAACUCCUUGGAUACAGAUUCAUAAUUUCUCAAACACUGAAUUACCCAAAGAACAAAUUAAUUACACCUAAGUAGGAUAAAAACAAAACAAUGGUUAUGAAUGAAUCAUCGUUCCUUAACAUGUAAAGAGUGAGAAUAGAUAAUUUAGAGUUCAAUUUUAUCCAUAACUGAUUUUUUCUAACAUAUUUCCACAUGGCAAAUGGUAAUCAAAUUGAAUUUGGCAUUCUUUCUUGAAUGAGGGCACAUUAAAUUACUGACAUUAGGUAAUACUGAUUAUGCAUGAAGCUUAUCAUGUGCCAUAUGUAAGCAUAUUUCUCCAACAAAUGAUUAAUAACAGUGUGUAAGUAAAAGCAGUAUUGCUAUAUCUGGACACAGUGCAUCAAUUAAGUCAAUGUUUAAUAUAGUCAUAGUGAAUAUAACUAAUGUAGUAUUAUCUGCAUUUAGUUUCAUUCUUAUCUAUUUUUAUCCCAAAUAGUGAAUAAUAAAGUUAAAAGUCCCAGUUAGAAAAGGGUUAAGCCUUGUUUGAAUAACCCCUGAAAGAACAAUCUUUUGUUACUCCCCUCCCCCACCCCCCAAAUCUUCUGCCUACCUACUUCAUAAUUUCAAAACUGAACUCAAAGAAUAUAAGAACCAGCAAUGACAAAUAAGAGAAGACAUAGAUAACAAUAUUAAAAAACAAUAAUAAAAAUUCUAUAGUUUAAUUAUAUCAAGAAACAAUCAUGUAGAGAUGAAAAAUAAACCUUUGAAUUCCCCAAGUAGAAAACGCAGCAAAUGCUACAGAAAAAGAAUCAAACAAGAGCUAAAGAUAAUCAGCUAAACUUAGUAUCAGCUUUUCAGUUUUUUUCUUCUAUUCAAGUCUUUGUGUGUGGAGGGGGUGGGGGGGUGGCAGGGGAGAAUCCACUCCUGGACUCUAAUAAUCCAAGGCCAGGGAGCAAAACCAAAGUCAUGAACUAAGGCAAUUCUUUAGCCAAUGCUAGGAGAACAAUAAAAGCAAUAGAAAAUGAUCCUUCUUUUUUUUUUUUUCUUAAACAGACCAAUGGCCCAAGCUGAAACAUAUUUUUUACCAGCACAAUCUCUGAAAAUGCCUCGGUAUUAGAAAAUUUCUUAUUUUCAAAUCAGAAAUUGGGAAUACACAUCAUAAUAAUAUAAAUCAAUCACCCAAAUGGAAGCCUGUAAAGGAAACUCAUUUCUGAAUAUAAUGUCACAGAUUGUCCCUAUUUCAUACGUAAGUCACAAGGCAAAAUAUUCACUAAAUCAUGGAAAGACUCACCUACUCCUUGUAUGUUCUCUACCAAUGAGAUUUUAAGCUUCUGAGAGCAAAGACCUCAGUCAUUUCACUCAGUUAAAUAACAAUUAUCAUGGACUCAUAGAUAUCAUUCCUUAUUCACAAACUUCUAUAAAAUUUCUUGAUUUUUUGAAUACUUGUGAAGUAAGUAAAACUCUACCUCUUAUCUUUGGAAUAUAAUAUGACCUAAAAUACUACUUUUUAAUUUGAAGUACAUCUGUUUUUAUUUACUGAAAGAGAGAAGGAGAGCAAUGAUGCCAAAAAUUUGGUAUAGGAAAAGGGAAAUUGAACUGGAAAAUAGGAGUCCUAAUUCUACUUUCCAAAAGCUUUUCAUUAACUGUUUGACCUGAAAUACGUCCCUCAUCUCUCUGGGCUCUGGUUACCUCACCUGUGAAAUGCAAUGGGCCAAGCUAGUUCAUUUCAAAUACCACUCUAACACCCUAGCAUCAUAGGAUUCUGUGUUUUUCACUAGCAACAUAUUUCAAGAAUACAAGAAAAACAUAGCAGAGAAAAACAACCUUAUGGUACACUCUAUAAUAAAAUAUACAUUCCAAACCCUCAACAUAUAAGUUGUUUUAUGCCGAGAUCAAACCCUUAUGUAAUCACAGAAACAUUGGCUUCUCCUGGUAAGUUAAAUACAGAUUUACUUACAAAUAAAAAUCACCUACAGACUUAAUGAAACCAACUGCAAACAACAGACCCCCUUUCCUUUACUCAGAGCGUGCUGCAAUUUACAGAGCUACCCGAACAUUUAGGAACUUCUUGGAUGUAAAAUCUCCCUGGCAGACGGCAAUUUUUUUUGAGGAGAAAGAUAGGGAGGAAGGGAGAAACAACAGAUAAGCCACGAUUGCCCCUUUACAGUUCUCAUUUUCUUUUCAGAUUAACUACCUAGGAGAUCUAUAUCCAACAUCCCAUGGAAAAAUAAAAAUAACAACAACAACAACACAGCCCACCCCGGAGUAUUCAAGAAACAACCGCAGUUACAAGUUGAGUAACUUGCUUACCAAAUUCUUCCCGGCUGGUAGUGAUCGGAGCCAUUUUUUGCUGCGUGUUCUGUCCGAGGUGCUGAACGGAAAACUCCCUGGCUUGAUUCACUUGCCUGGAUCUGAAGCGCCGGCUUUCCCGAGUGCUGAAAACAACAGCGCAGAGCCCAGGGGACCUGCGCCUGGAACCGGGAGGAGGCAAAGGGGGGAGGGGGUGGUCCACUCGCCCUCGCACAGUGAUUUGCCACCCCUGUUCCUGUUUUGGCUCUUCUGAGAAGCUCGUCUCUGAGACUCUAGACGUGGCUGAAACCCGAAUUGACGCAAUCCUGACGCUACAGGGUUGAAAUCAGCACCUGCCCUCCUCCCCUCCGCCCUCCAAUCCUCUCCUCUCCCUUUCCUUCUUUCUUCCUCCCGUCUCUCCUGAGGAUUCAACACAUACUCAUCAAUUAUUUUAACUGUUGGACUACUGGAGAUUAGCUUUGCUAUUCUGUGGGGGCUCACAAGCACAUGGAGAUGAGCCCCCAAACUCAUUCGUGUCAGUUCUUGAUAGAAAAUCUCCUGAUCAUCUAGAUCAGUAAAAAUGUGCCUGUGAGUUAUCAGAAUAAUGCAAUUUACAGAGAUGAUUUCGGGUAAGAGUGAGAAGAGAGAAAUCUCUGCAUCAUAUGAACACUGUGACAUGCAAGAAUAUGUUUUCUUGCUUUCUAAAAUUUUCUUUGAUAUAUUUUCGUUAGAAAAGAUCCACCGCACAUUGAUCCAUUUGAAAUAAGACAACAGUUUUCCCACUAUAAUCACUUAUUUCCUAAUAAAUAGUCUAAACAUUUUGCUGAUGCUGUUGCUCCAUCUGUCUGUCAGCUCUCUCCCCUUUAAUAUCUGACAUUUGACCAGUUAAAGUACUUAGGAACAGAUGGGAAUAAUCCCUUCUGUAUUCAGACUCACUCUCGGUUAUGACUUUCGCAUAUAAUGAGACUGCUCCUGGAAUGACAUUUCUGGUUAAAACCCCUGACUUCUAAUAGGAUUGUGCAAAAUAGUUACAAGAAUCAGACUGAAAUUGAAAGUGAAUGAUAUGAUAAUUAUUGGUUAUUUUCAAAGGAAAACAUUUUUUUUUCUAAACUGAUGAUAUUUCUAGGGUUGAGGAACUAGGCAAUAUAUGGUGUCAGAUUCUGAUUAAUUUUAAUCAGAAGAGUGUGCCUUUUAAAAAUGUUAAGAAAUUUUCCAAAGGAGGAAACUCAGGCUGUAACUCCAACUAUCAAUUAUUGCUCCACAAAGAAUUCCUUUGCUCUGGAGCUUAGGAGCAAAUGACAUUUAGUAUAUACUGGAAUGGGGGAGGAAGGGGCAUUGGGUGACUCUCAGAAAGCUACUAUACAAGUGACAGGUUCCUGCACAUUGGCGAGCAGUCGCUCUGAGUGUCAGGACUGUGUCUUGGGAAAAAUUAGCUUCAGUCUUUUGCAUCAUGGAAAAUUUUAUGAACCAAAGUCCUUUUCUUUCCCUUUCUACUUGUUCCCACAUAGUUGGCAUUUUAAAAUUCUUCCAACAGAUUUUUUAAAACCUUAUAUUGUCAUGCUAUGAAAACACACAAACCAAUUUACUGUAUUUUGUACUGUUCUAUUGGCAGAACCUGUAUUUUGUGUCCUUAUCUUUUCACUUCAUUCAGAUUACUUGCUUCCUCAGUUAUGUUUGCACCUAGUGGGAUUGUCCCUAGGAAUAGACAUUCAUUAGAUGAAAGAGACAGUGGUAUUUAUUUGUGAUGCAUACCAUAGGUAAACAAAAUAUAUAGUGUGAGGUUCACUAAAACGUGUUUCCUGGCUAAGUUAUUGCUAACAUAUGGUUAAACUCGUUUGUUGUAAACAUAAGUACCUUAUUUGUAUGUUCUAUAUAAAUUAGUAUCUCAUUAAUUUUACCUUCAGGUGGCAAGAUGCUGUCAUCUAAAACCUGUCUAGACUGUUUAAACUCUGUUUCUAUAGAACCCUAUCUCACCCUGGGCUGUCUCAUUUCUAAGGACACAUUGUGAUAAAAUUACAUCUUGCCCAGAGCUAAUGCUAUUGUGGAUAUAGUAACUGUUUCAUUGCUUGCUUUAAAAGCAAACUGAAAUAAAUGUUAUUAAU